AAUAUUUAAUAUCACAAUUAAAAUUCUAGAAUGUUACAUCAUUCCCUCCUUACAAGGAUUCUGUCCCCAGAAUCACAAUUCAAAUAAUUCAUUCGUCACAUUCUCCCCUACUUACAAAGAUUCUGCCCCUAGAAUCGAAGACACAGAUUAAACAAAUAACUCAGGGUAAUUCUUCAUCAUUUCAACUUCGAGUUCCCACGUAGCCUCUUCGGCAUUGUGGUUCCUCCAAAUUACCUUCACAGAAGGUAUCACCUUAUUCCUGAGCACUUGUUCUUUCCCGUCGACUAUCUGGAUAGGAACCUCUUCAUAGGACAAAUCUUUGUCAAACUGCAAUGGUUCACGUGCUUGUAAUCAGGUUUGUACGGUCGUAACACCAACACGUGAAAAACAUUAUGAAUGUUUUGCAACUCUGGAGGUAGAGCUACUUCGUAAGCUAUGACGCCCCCAAAAUAGGUAUACAUCACCCAUCUUGAGUCUCCAAAUACAUGGUACAUAAAUCAAAUACAACAUAAUUAUAUAAUUGUCG
rnacentral:lncRNA from 1 species